UUUUUUUUUUGGUGACAGGGUCUCCCGUUGUCAAAGUUGGUCUUUAACUCCUGGGCUCAAGCAAUCCUCUAUCUCAGGCUCCCAAUAGAUGGAACUAUAGGCUUGCACCAAUAGACCUGCCUCCCAGCCAUUCUUAAUUGUGUGGUGUUUGUUUUGUUUUGGAUUUUGAGUACUGGGGAUUGUACCCAGGGAUUUUCUACCACUGAACUACAUCCCCAGUCCUUUUUACUUUUUAAUUUUUUUGAGACAGGGUCUCAUUAAGUUGUCCCAUGGCCUUGUAUUUGUGUUCUUCCUGCUUCAGCCUUCCUGGCAGCUGGGAUUACUGACAUGUACCACCAGGUCCAACUUCUUUAUUGUCUUUUGCAUUAUGGGAGACACCUGAGAAAAUGUCAAGUGUCAUUACAGAAAUAGCUGGAAAACAAAAGAGAAGCUAGGGGAAGGAAGUGUCAAUAUCUGAUUCACAUUUAGAGAUCCCUUUUUAAAGCUAUUAGAGAAGUAGACGAUAUAUAAUUAAUUACAUUCCCUAUAAAAUACUGUUCCUUAUAAAGUAGUGUUAAGUCAAACUAACUCUCUUAGAAAAAUUCUUACAAAGGUACAAAUAUCUACUUUCUAUUACACAGGUAGGGAUACAUUGUUAGAGUCUGUAAACAAGUCUGGAUGGCGCCUGGCAAAAUGCCAGAGGGAGUGGUUUGUGAAGUAACGCCAGCAAGCCAUUAAGUGUGGAGAUUCCUUAUUGGUUGACUGCUGUAUCUAGCUUAUGUUAAUUAGAUAAGCUGUGUGGAAUGUAUAAAUACCUCUGUUGUCCUACAAUAAACGGAUCCCAUUCCUGCUGUAUCAAUCUACACAAGUUGUUCAUCACCCCCCGGCUAUUUUGCUGCAGCCAGACUGCGGCAAUACAUCUAUGAUUUUAUCAUAAUUGUUAUUAAAAUGUAAUUGGAGAGGCAACUAACAUCAGUUUCUACCCACAUUUGCACGACUGUGUACCUACUCCUUACCUUUGUCCUGAACUCCUUCAAACUGCAGUUUUCUAAUAAUAAAAAGACCCCAUAAACUAUAGUAUGGUCUUUGAAGCACAGGGGAAUCCAUCUAGAAAAGUCAAAUAUUAUGCAUUUUUGAAGAAGUAGUUUUUAAUGACCAAUGAGGUAUCCUUUUUAAAUUCCUGAACAUGUAAAAUUUCCCCCCUAGCAUAUAUAUGAAAAAAAUGCAUUUCCAGAAAUAAUAUAAAAAAAAUGAAGCCAUUUUCCUGGCCAUCACACUAGAAGUACAGAUAAUUUUCUCAACAAAUAGCGUUUUUCAUCUGAAUUUACAUUGCAAAUAAUGUCAUAAAGAGGAUUUUUUCCAGACCAAUGAUGAUAGAAGAACAAAUUCUUAACUUAAUAAUAGUAGUAAACUCCCUUCAAAGGCAUUUAAG
rnacentral:lncRNA from 1 species